rnacentral:snRNA from 1 species
UAGGGAUGCAGUCAGUCUAACGAAGAACUCUCGAAUUGCCUUUUACCAUUCGAAACCGUGGAUUGCUGCACUCAUCCCUUGCUGAAUCUUUGGAAAUUUCUUGGCCUUUAUU